GACGAACGCUGGCGGCGUGCCUAAUACAUGCAAGUAGAACGCUGAAGGAGGAGCUUGCUUCUCCGGAUGAGUUGCGAACGGGUGAGUAACGCGUAGGUAACCUGCCUGGUAGCGGGGGAUAACUAUUGGAAACGAUAGCUAAUACCGCAUAAGAGUAGAUGUCGCAUGACAUUUGCUUAAAAGGUGCAACUGCACCACUACCAGAUGGACCUGCGAUGUAUUAGCUAGUUGGUGAGGUAACGGCUCACCAAGGCAACGAUACAUAGCCGACCUGAGAGGGUGAUCGGCCACACUGGGACUGAGACACGGCCCAGACUCCUACGGGAGGCAGCAGUAGGGAAUCUUCGGCAAUGGACGGAAGUCUGACCGAGCAACGCCGCGUGAGUGAAGAAGGUUUUCGGAUCGUAAAGCUCUGUUGUAAGAGAAGAACGAGUGUGAGAGUGGAAAGUUCACACUGUGACGGUAUCUUACCAGAAAGGGACGGCUAACUACGUG
rnacentral:rRNA from 1 species